GCCUGGGUGGCUCAGUCGGUUAAGUGUCUGACUUCAGCUCAGGUCAUGAUCUCCUGGUUCGGGAGUUCAAGCCCCACCUCAGGCU
rnacentral:tRNA from 1 species